GUCAGACACGACUGAAUGACUGAACUGAGCUGAACAGGGCAAACACUAGAUUUAUCUUUCAAAAAGGAUUUCUGCUCUGGAGGCCCUAUUUCUAGUCUGAAAGCUCUGCAAGUCAAAGGGCAGAAAGGAAUCUUUCCUGUAAACAUCCGCUAGGCCACUCCCGGAAAAGGUCAUUCCUUCACUACUCUCCUGAAGCCAGAAUUUCC
ensembl:lncRNA